AUCACCAGCGAUAGUGCUGUGGGUGCAGACAGUUCCAAGAAAUCCCGGGGCCAGACAGAGUCUCAUCUGAAGGACGCAGGAGCCCAGCAGAGGCGCAUCAGUGCAGUCCGGGCAGCCUGCUGUCACACCCGUCUUGGGGCCUGCACCACCGUUAACUAAUCCUGAUGGCUGGCUGGUGAGACCCGAGGCUCCGAGUGCUCAGCUCUGCACCCGAGCUCCUGCAGGUCCCCUGGUCCCCGGACGCCUCCACGCAAGUGACCCCAGUCACGUCCUUCCUCGAGAACCCCAAGUGGGAGGCUCCCAACAUGGCGAGCCCACCCUGCUCACCAGCCACACGAGGCCGCCCGGCAUGGCAGUCAUUCAGGGACGCCCGUGCGGUUUCCUGGCCAGAUCUGCUGUCCCUGGACAGGGCUGGGGGAGCCGUCCCCACGUCUUCCCGAAACGACUUCCCUGGUGGUCCAGUGGUUAAGAAUCUGCCCGCCGAUGCAGGCAAUGAGGCUUCAGUCUCUGCUCAGGGAAGAUUCCACGUGCAGCAAGGCAGCUAAGCACGCGCGCCACGACUGAAAGCUGUGAGCCUGGAGCCCACGCUGGGCAAAAAAAAGGCCAGCACCACGAGAAGCCCCCGCAACCGCAACUAGAGUAAGACCACACGCGGCAAGGAAGACCCAGCACGGCCAAGAAACAAAUUAAAAACAACAAAAAAACCCACGAAGAAAAUCACGUGUAUCUACAGUGUAUUUGUUGCUGUUCAGUUGCUCAGUCCUGUCUGACUCUACGACCCCAUGGACUGCAGCGCGCCAGGCCUCCCUGUCCAUUACCAACUCCCGAAGCUUGCUCAAACUCCUGUCCACUGAGUUGGUGACGCCAUCCAACCAUCUCAUCCUCUGUCGUCCCCUUCUCCUGCCCUCAAUCUUUCCCAGCAUCAGGGUCUUUUCCAAUGACUCAGUUCUUCACAUCAGGUGGCCUAAGUACUGGAGCUUCAGCUUCAGCAUCAGUCCUUCCAGUGAAUAUUCAGGAUUGAAUUCUUUAGGAUGGACUGGUUGGAUCUCCUUGCAGUCCAAGGGACUCUCAAGAGUCUCCUCCAACACGACAGUUCAAAAGCAUAAAUUCUUUGAUAUCAGCUUUCCCUAUAGUCCAGCUCUCACAUCCAUACAUGACUACUGGAAAAACCAUAGCUUUGACUAUAGGGACAUUUUGUUGGCAAAGU
ensembl:lncRNA